CUUCAAAUCGCCCUUAAAUUCACAUACUACUCACCUUGAGUUUUGGUACCUUCAAUUUGCCUGCUGUCGUUCUUCAAUCCCAAAUACCAACAAGAGAUAAAGAUUAAGAAUACUAAAUUACUAAAUGGAUGAGAGCCAAAAGGAACAUGUACUUGAACGAUUCUUUUCACCUAAGAUAUCUUAGAGAUCAAAGUUUUUGAAAACUCAACAAAAAGAAGGAAAUUUAUGUGGACUCAUACCCACUCUCCAAUUCAUCUACACAUGUUAAUAAUUUGCAUUCAGUUCACAUACGACAAUUCAGUUCGUAGAAAUUUUAAAAAAUAUUUUAACGACAAGCGUUUAAAACUGUUCUUGGGCUGAUCUGUCUAAAAUAACCUUUUGUCCUUAAACAUUUGUAUUGUGCUGAUCUGUCUUGUAUUGUUUUUGUUAGAUAUUUAUAUUUUGCUAAUCAAAAGGAUCCAUCUUGACUUGGAUAUGAAUGGUCGAAAUUACUCACUUUACCGGAGUUUAACUUGAUCUUUGUCAUUUUGAGGUGGAGUUAGAUUCGAUCCGUAUUAAUUUGUUAAAUGUUACUAGUAUAAUUUAAUUAUCCCGAAUCCCUUAAACCCUAAACAAAAUUCAAUUCCCCUACCUCACCCUGUUAAGGAGGAUGAAGUUACUGUUCGGCAUUGGUCUUAACGGCGAGUUUCUGGUGGUUGGCCUUGGGGCCAAUUUCCAUACAGUGUUUGGUAAGAUGAAAAGGCUUUUCUGCAAACAGAGCAUUUGUGGCUGAGAGGAAUCGGGACAGAAAGUUCAGGAUCAUCAAUAGUUCGUUGGCCUAUUGAAUUGAAGAAGUUGAAAAACUUGAGGACAUUCCUUAUGGAUGAUAUGGAAAUCUAUGAUGCUGAAGAAACCAUUAUAUCGGAAGUAAUAGAAAGUCUUGUACAAUUAAAGGUGUUUAGAUAUAGUAAAAAUAUUUUAUGUAGACCUAGAGACGACAUUGUACAAGGAGAGAUAUCACUACUAGAGAAGUUGGAAUCCUUACCAAAAUUGGAGGAACUGAGCAUCCGUCUAACUUCCAUCACCAGUGUGCGGAGACUACUUCACUCCACCAAAUUACGAGGUUGCUCAAGACGUCUCAAGAUUUCUUUUUAUGGGAGUUAUAAUAAGGUGCUAGACACACUUGAAAUGUCAUCAUUAUUAGCAUCCAUGUCAGAAAUGACGCAUUUGGACUACAUACAUCUUUUUAGCAUAAGCAACCUCAUGGAUGGUUCACCGGUUACUGACAAAUGCCAUCUUGGCAGGCUUCGCACAGUGUGCAUAUAUGUUUGUGGUUCAAUAACUCAUUUGACGUGGUUGAGGUAUGCUCCUCUUCUCGAGUAUCUUGUUGUUUGUGGUUGUAAUUCAAUUGAACAGGUGGUGAAGGAUGAUGAUGAAGAAGCUGGCUCAAAGUCCAAAAAUGAUAAUAUAUUCAUAAAUCUUAGAGAUCUUUGCCUUCAACAUAUGUCAGAGCUAGUGAGCAUCCACAAGAGAGCUUUGGCUUUUCCUUCCCUAAAACGUAUUCUUGUAAUUGGUUGCCCUAAUCUGAGGAAGCUUCCUCUCAAUUCCAGCUUUGCUUCCAAGGACAACUUGAUUGCAAUCCAAGGAGAGACCGAGUGGUGGGACAAUUUAGAAUGGGAUGAUAGAAUUAUUGAACACUUACUACGGCCUAAAUUUCAAUAUGUAAAGGCUUUGGACGAAGAUUAUCUCUAUUUGUAACUAGAUCAAUUCUUUGAUUGAUAGUGGAGAUGAUCUCUACCAGUGAGUGACGCCCGUCCUAUCAUAAGAUUUAGAGGCCUUCCUAAUUGGUGUGUGACCAAUGAGUAAAGAUGAAUUUAAUACACCCAAACAGUAGUAACCAACAACGUCAAUUAGGCUUCCUUUGCAUUUUCCUGUGGAAAUUAUGGCAGGUGCGGAAUCAAGUUGUAUUUCAAAACAAGUUUGAUCCCAUUUGUGUAGCUCAGGAGGUGAUGUUUCUUGUGCAGAAAAUUAACUGAGACCCCAGCUGUAACUGAUCAGAAUUUCACUGUGUACCGCGACUAAUGUGCAAGAUACAGCUGAAGAUGACAAAAUAUUUGUUGAUACUGGAUGGUUUGAAAAUGGUUCAACUGGCUGGGGACUAGGUCUUCCUAAAUCUAAGGGGUUUGAGGCAAUAUUUGUUGUAGUAGACAGAUUGUUCAAGUAUGGACACUACCCCUGAAACAUCCCUACACCGCAAGAAAAGUAGCAAAGGUGUUCACAAAGGAGAUAGUUUGUAAGUGACCGCGACCCUUUGUUCAUUAGUUUAAUUUGGAAGGAGCUGUUUAGAUUGCAGGGAACAGUUUUGAAGAUGAGUUCCACUUAUCAUCCUGAGACGGAUAGUCAAACAGAGGUGGUAAAUAGGUGUCUUGAACCUUACUUGCGCUUUUUUUCAUCCAAAUAGUCCAAGAAUUGGUCCUAUUGGGCAUUUACGCAGGUCUGCGGUUGCCAUGGUGCCUUCAUGUGGCAAAGGAGAUCAAUCUGCAGAGAGUAACGAUCCCAACUGAUGCAACUAAUGUAGCUAACUGCCUGAAUUCUACUAUAUGUAUUUCUGCCAUUGAUUCCAUUAUCCUUCAUUGUAAACUUUUAAUGACUCAAUUAGAGUGUGUCAAAGUCACUCAUAUGAAGAGACAACUGAACACAGUAGCUCACGGUCUUGCUAGGUUAUCUAGGAAUGUAGGUUCCAAGACGUGGUUCGAUAUAUCAUCCCCGCUGCAAAAUUGUAAUUCUGUUUAUGGUUCAUUGUAAUGCAGAAUAUAUGUUUCGUUUGGAAAAAAUAAAAUAAAAUGAAGGAUGUGAGAUUUGG